UAAAACUAUUUUCUCCCGAUGAGGAGGAGCAGGAAAGCAUAAUAAUAAUAAGUACAGUACAGUAAGAAAAGACUGAGCUUUAACAGAUAAACACUCCUGGAGUUCCCCGCCCUGUCUGUCUGCAUGUUGCCCCAUGCUGGGAGUGAUAAUAGCUGGUCAUGGCCCUCUCUCUGGCAGUCAGCUGCUCUCUGUACUGAGCCAGGGAAAUGGAGGGGGCCAGGGGACCAAGGCAGGCUGUGUUGCUGUGUGGACAGGGGUCAAUGGGCUGGUGUUGUAACAAAACCCUGGGUCACCAUUUAUGUUUUACCUUGUGUAACAUGACUCAGAGUCUCUAUUUGGGGGAGAGGACAAGUUGAAGAAUAAAUGUCACACAUUCCAUUAAAACUGAUUUGAAUUAAUGCCUGAGCAAUGUAGCAUACUUUUGGAGUGAACCAAUCGUCCGUUCACGAAACCCCUCCUCAAAACAGCGAUUGUCCAAUUAUAGCUUAGCAACUGUAACUAGGCACAGCAGGUCUGUCAAGCUAGGGAUUUCUCUCUCCAAAACCCCAAAUACAACAGCAAAAAUGUAAGGAAUGGAUUAAACAGUGUGUCUGUCACAGUGUGUCAGUGUUUGUCUGCCCUAAGCAUGUGAUGUGCAAUUCCUGAGAGAGACCAAACUGGUUAAGGAUCACUGCUGGGGAACUUCCUUUGCUCAGGUUGCCAGAAAACAGCCGUUUCAUCUCCUGCACAGUGAAGCAGCGCGGUUUAGCAUGGAAAGCAGAUCAAAAGCUCGGCAAUAGCUAAGGUGACAAUGACAGAGACUCACCCAUAUCAACACUGGCACACCAUCUUCUGAUAAGUUAAUGGAAAAGCUUCAAGAGUGCCACAGUCAGCAGCAGCAUCAUUACCUUCCUAAAAAGUGAGAAAUCAAGAUAUUGCUCCAAAUAUGUGCUUUUUUUUAUCCAAUAACCAUUCAAGGGCACUACUGGCUUUCAGUUUUAUUCUGGAACACAGAUUGUACAUAAUGGUUUUCAUCAAUAAAGAAGCAUACCUCAAACAUUAAAA